UACGUAGGGGGCAAGCGUUGUCCGGAAUCAUUGGGCGUAAAGAGCGUGUAGGCGGCUCGGUAAGUCCGCUCUGAAAGCCCGGGGCUCAACCCCGGGAGGCGGGCGGAUACUGUCGGGCUAGAGUCCGGAAGAGGCGAGUGGAAUUCCUGGUGUAGCGGUGAAAUGCGUAGAUAUCGGAAGGAACACCAGUGGCGAAAGCGGCUCCCUGGUCCAGCACCGACGUUCAGGCACGAAAGCGUGGGGAGCAAACAGG
rnacentral:rRNA from 1 species